CCUUCGAGUGGGGGAUAACCUUCCGAAAGGAGGGCUAAUACCGCAUGACAUCCCAUGUUUGGAUACAUGGACAUCAAAGCCGGGGAUCGCAAGACCUGGCGCUUGAAGAGGGGCCUGCGUCCGAUUAGCUAGUUGGUGGGGUCACGGCCCACCAAGGCUCCGAUCGGUAUCCGGCCUGAGAGGGCGGACGGACACACUGGAACUGAGACACGGUCCAGACUCCUACGGGAGGCAGCAGUGGGGAAUUGUUCGCAAUGGGCGAAAGCCUGACGACGCAACGCCGCGUGGAGGAUGAGGACUUUCGGGUCGUAAACUCCUUUCGACCGAGAUGAAUAGCCCGGGAUCUAAUAGGUCCCGGGCCUGACAGUAUCGAGGGAAGAAGCCCCGGCUAACUCCGUGCCAGCAGCCGCGGUAAUACGGGGGGGGCAAGCGUUGUUCGGAAUUACUGGGCGUAAAGGGUUCGUAGGUGGCUUGCUAAGUCAGACGUGAAAUCCCUCAGCUUAACUGGGGAACUGCGUCUGAGACUGGCGAGCUUGAGGGCAGGAGAGGAACGCGGAAUUCCAGGUGUAGCGGUGAAAUGCGUAGAUAUCUGGAGGAACACCGGUGGCGAAGGCGGCGUUCUGGACUGCAUCUGACGCUGAGGAACGAAAGCCAGGGGAGCAAACGGGAUUAGAUACCCCGGUAGUCCUGGCCCUAAACGAUGAAUGCUUGGUGUGGCGGGUAUCGAUCCCUGCCGUGCCGAAGUUAACGCGAUAAGCAUUCCGCCUGGGGAGUACGGUCGCAAGGCUG
rnacentral:rRNA from 1 species